rnacentral:rRNA from 1 species
GACAGAGGGGGCAAGCGUUGCUCGGAAUCACUGGGCGUAAAGGGCGCGUAGGCGGGAUGGCAAGUCAGUCGUGAAAUCUCUCGGCUCAACCGAGAAACGUCGGCUGAUACUGCCGUUCUUGAGGGAUGCAGAGGAGACUGGAAUUCCCGGUGUAGCGGUGAAAUGUGUAGAGAUCGGGAGGAACACCGGUGGCGAAGGCGGGUCUCUGGGCAAUUCCUGACGCUGAGGCACGAAGGCUAGGGGAGCAAACGGG